rnacentral:lncRNA from 1 species
AACUGAUGGCAGCGUCCUUCGCAUACAGGGCUCAAUCCUUUUUGGCACUGACUUGAAUAUCACUUGGCAGUGUCAAAUAUUUUCCCCAGCAAGACUACUUGCCACUUUCAUCAGAGUUCAAAGCAUUACCAAUCGCCAUUUACAACCCCGAUCAAAUACCCUAUUAAACCUCGCAACCUCCGUCAUACUUGAGCGUAUAUUAUUCACAACCCCACUUGUUACAUGCAGCGGAUGGAAAUAGGGCUUGGGAACGGCUGCGCGGACAGAAAUCGAUCGGGGUGACCGGCAGAGCCCUCUCGCGGAAAACCCCCUAAGUUCUCGUUCGUGCGGUGCUCCCCGAUUUUACAUGGAGCCAGCCUCCUUCUCCCAGUAAUCAUGUGAAUCAGGUGCCUCGGAUCAACGAUUAUCUCAACCGUAUCCACUUUGAGACUCCAAUACUGUUCCCUCGACUCUGAUCUACCCCUGGAAUCUUGGCACUCAGGAAAAAAUUAAAAAUGAUAUCCGUAACAUGGCUGAGCACCCGGUAAAAAUGUCUUUUGGCCUGCUUCUCCUUCUCGUUUUGCGUUACUCAACAGGCGUUCUGGGAAGCAAUGCUGCGGCGAGUGAUACUUACAAGCGGGUCGGAUUCAGGCAUCAUGCAGCCGAGUUGCAACGGACCCAGCUCGGGGAGGGGGCGGGGGCGGGGGGCGACGCUGAACCUGACGCGCCUCCGGAUCCUGAUCAGGAGCACCCGUUGGGCACCGACGCCGACCCCGACGCCACCUCCCCGCUCAACUCCCGCGCACAUGCCCCGCUGGACACCGUCAGAUUCCCCAGACUCAACAAGGAUGGGGAUGACGACGGCCGUGACAAACCACGAGUCAGCUUACCCGGUGAUCGGCAACCGAAGGAGAGGACAGGCGGGGCUGUCUACGAAGAAGAACAACAUCGAGAAGAUUAUCUCCAACGGAAAUAUCCCGACGAAGUCCUCUCUGGUAAGACGAAAAUUUGAUCUCUUAACAAUUAGAAUAAAACCAUCAAAAUUUAGUCAAUUUUCAAAAAUAGUCAAUUUUCACACAAAUGAACGUUGUAAAGUUCCAACUCGCAAUGGGUCAGUUGCGAUGGUCACAGAAUCGUGUUACGGUGCUCAACUCAUGUAGAUUAGCUAAAACUAUGGAGAUCCGUCCAAACCGCAACUUUCUACAUCCAAUAUUAACCGAGAUACCGAACGCGCCGAACUCAGUGCGACCGGCGCGACGUUGAACGCAAAAAAGCGCCUGCAAGACUGGCAGAACACUUCACGCAUUGCACCAAACAGUGCGGUCGGCGCCGGACGCAUAUUAGCGCCAACAAGACUGCAUGAAUACUUCUCGCAUUGCGCCAAACGCAGUGCACUCUGUCAGUUGGCGUGAAUGUAAAUGGAACGCAUAUUACUCACGACUCCGUAGAGUAUUGUGUCUCUUGUGACCGGGCAAUUCAA